rnacentral:rRNA from 1 species
GUGGGGAAUAUUGCGCAAUGGGGGAAACCCUGACGCAGCGACGCCGUGUGAGGGAAGAAGGCCUUCGGGUCGUAAACCUCUGUCAGAAGGGAAGAACCGCCGAGGGGUGAAUAAAACCUCGGCCUGACGGUACCUUCAGAGGAAGCGCCGGCUAACUCCGUGCCAGCAGCCGCGGUAAUACGGAGGGCGCAAGCGUUAAUCGGAAUUACUGGGCGUAAAGCGUGCGUAGGCUGUUUGGUAAGUCAGGCGUGAAAGCCCUCGGCUCAACCGAGGAACUGCGCUUGAUACUGCCGGACUCGAGUCCCGGAGAGGGUGGCGGAAUUCCAGGUGUAGGAGUGAAAUCCGUAGAUAUCUGGAGGAACACCGGUGGCGAAGGCGGCCACCUGGACGGGUACUGACGCUGAGGCACGAAAGCGUGGGGAGCAAACAGGAUUAGAUACCCCGGUAGUCC